GAACGCUAGCUACAGGCCUAACACAUGCAAGUCGAGGGGCAGCGGAGGAAGCUUGCUUCGUUUGCCGGCGACCGGCGCACGGGUGCGUAACGCGUAUCGAACUCCCCCAUACUCGGGAAUAGCCUUGCGAAAGUAAGAUUAAUGCCCGAUGGUCUCAGAAUAUGACAUCAUGCUUUGAGUAAAGAUUCAUCGGUAUGGGAUGGCGAUGCGUCUGAUUAGAUAGUUGGCGGGGUAACGGCCCACCAAGUCAUCGAUCAGUAGGGGUUCUGAGAGGAAGGUCCCCCACAUUGGAACUGAGACACGGUCCAAACUCCUACGGGAGGCAGCAGUGAGGAAUAUUGGUCAAUGGUCGGAAGACUGAACCAGCCAAGUAGCGUGAAGGAUGACUGCCCUACGGGUUGUAAACUUCUUUUAUGCGGGAAUAAAGUGGCCCACGCGUGGGCUAUUGCAUGUACCGCGUGAAUAAGCAUCGGCUAAUUCCGUGCC
rnacentral:rRNA from 1 species